CAUCGCCGCCAUCAUCAUCAUCAUCGGCCUCGUGGGAGUCGGUGUCUGGAAGCUCCGAUCCGGGAAGAGGGAGGGGAAGGGAUACAACCCCGCGCCCACCAGAAUCACAGCCUGAGCGAUCCUGGAGCUGGAUCCACCCCUUCCCUCUCCCUGCGGAAAGGCAGGAGCUGCUGGCAGAGCUCAUCCCGCUGCUCCCACCCACCCCGGCCCCCCUGCGGCUCUUCCCGAUGGAUCAACUUCCUGCUUUUUCCCGUGUGAAACCCAGGACCACAAUUAUUCCUGAGGCUUUAAUUUGGGUGUGAAAAUCUCCUGCUUUGGGCAAUAAAUCCUGGCUCCCUC